rnacentral:rRNA from 1 species
UUAAGCGACUAAGCGUACACGGUGGAUGCCCUGGCAGUCAGAGGCGAUGAAGGACGUGCUAAUCUGCGAAAAGCGUCGGUAAGGUGAUAUGAACCGUUAUAACCGGCGAUGUCCGAAUGGGGAAACCCAGUGCAAUUCGUUGCACUAUCGUUAACUGAAUACAUAGGUUAACGAGGCGAACCGGGGGAACUGAAACAUCUAAGUACCCCGAGGAAAAGAAAUCAACCGAGAUUCCCCCAGUAGCGGCGAGCGAACGGGGAGCAGCCCAGAGUCUGAAUCAGCUUGUGUGUUAGUGGAACGGUCUGGAAAGUCCGACGGUACAGGGUGAUAGUCCCGUACACCAAAAUGCACAGGUUGUGAACUCGAAGAGUAGGGCGGGACACGUGGUAUCCUGUCUGAAUAUGGGGGGACCAUCCUCCAAGGCUAAAUACUCCUGACUGACCGAUAGUGAACCAGUACCGUGAGGGAAAGGCGAAAAGAACCCCGGCGAGGGGAGUGAAAAAGAACCUGAAACCGUGUACGUACAAGCAGUGGGAGCACCUUCGGGUGUGACUGCGUACCUUUUGUAUAAUGGGUCAGCGACUUAUAUUCUGUAGCAAGGUUAACCGUAUAGGGGAGCCGCAGGGAAACCGAGUCUUAACUGGGCGUUAAGUUGCAGGGUAUAGACCCGAAACCCGGUGAUCUAGCCAUGGGCAGGUUGAAGGUUGGGUAACACUAACUGGAGGACCGAACCGACUAAUGUUGAAAAAUUAGCGGAUGACUUGUGGCUGGGGGUGAAAGGCCAAUCAAACCGGGAGAUAGCUGGUUCUCCCCGAAAGCUAUUUAGGUAGCGCCUCGUGAACUCAUCUUCGGGGGUAGAGCACUGUUUCGGCUAGGGGGUCAUCCCGACUUACCAACCCGAUGCAAACUACGAAUACCGAAGAAUGUUAUCACGGGAGACACACGGCGGGUGCUAACGUCCGUCGUGAAGAGGGAAACAACCCAGACCGCCAGCUAAGGUCCCAAAGUCAUGGUUAAGUGGGAAACGAUGUGGGAAGGCACAGACAGCCAGGAUGUUGGCUUAGAAGCAGCCAUCAUUUAAAGAAAGCGUAAUAGCUCACUGGUCGAGUCGGCCUGCGCGGAAGAUGUAACGGGGCUAAACCAUGCACCGAAGCUGCGGCAGCGACACUAUGUGUUGUUGGGUAGGGGAGCGUUCUGUAAGCCUGCGAAGGUGUGCUGUGAGGCAUGCUGGAGGUAUCAGAAGUGCGAAUGCUGACAUAAGUAACGAUAAAGCGGGUGAAAAGCCCGCUCGCCGGAAGACCAAGGGUUCCUGUCCAACGUUAAUCGGGGCAGGGUGAGUCGACCCCUAAGGCGAGGCCGAAAGGCGUAGUCGAUGGGAAACAGGUUAAUAUUCCUGUACUUGGUGUUACUGCGAAGGGGGGACGGAGAAGGCUAUGUUAGCCGGGCGACGGUUGUCCCGGUUUAAGCAUGUAGGCUGAUUAUCCAGGCAAAUCCGGAUAAUCAAGGCUGAGGUGUGAUGACGAGGCACUACGGUGCUGAAGUAACAAAUGCCCUGCUUCCAGGAAAAGCCUCUAAGCAUCAGGUAACAUCAAAUCGUACCCCAAACCGACACAGGUGGUCAGGUAGAGAAUACCAAGGCGCUUGAGAGAACUCGGGUGAAGGAACUAGGCAAAAUGGUGCCGUAACUUCGGGAGAAGGCACGCUGGUGUGUAGGUGAAGUCCCUGCGGAUGGAGCUGAGACCAGUCGAAGAUACCAGCUGGCUGCAACUGUUUAUUAAAAACACAGCACUGUGCAAACACGAAAGUGGACGUAUACGGUGUGACGCCUGCCCGGUGCCGGAAGGUUAAUUGAUGGGGUUAUCCGUAAGGAGAAGCUCUUGAUCGAAGCCCCGGUAAACGGCGGCCGUAACUAUAACGGUCCUAAGGUAGCGAAAUUCCUUGUCGGGUAAGUUCCGACCUGCACGAAUGGCGUAAUGAUGGCCAGGCUGUCUCCACCCGAGACUCAGUGAAAUUGAACUCGCUGUGAAGAUGCAGUGUACCCGCGGCAAGACGGAAAGACCCCGUGAACCUUUACUAUAGCUUGACACUGAACAUUGAGCCUUGAUGUGUAGGAUAGGUGGGAGGCUUUGAAGCGUGGACGCCAGUCUGCGUGGAGCCAACCUUGAAAUACCACCCUUUAAUGUUUGAUGUUCUAACGUUGGCCCCUUACCGGGGUUGCGGACAGUGUCUGGUGGGUAGUUUGACUGGGGCGGUCUCCUCCCAAAGCGUAACGGAGGAGCACGAAGGUUAGCUAAUCCUGGUCGGACAUCAGGAGGUUAGUGCAAUGGCAUAAGCUAGCUUGACUGCGAGCGUGACGGCGCGAGCAGGUGCGAAAGCAGGUCAUAGUGAUCCGGUGGUUCUGAAUGGAAGGGCCAUCGCUCAACGGAUAAAAGGUACUCCGGGGAUAACAGGCUGAUACCGCCCAAGAGUUCAUAUCGACGGCGGUGUUUGGCACCUCGAUGUCGGCUCAUCACAUCCUGGGGCUGAAGUAGGUCCCAAGGGUAUGGCUGUUCGCCAUUUAAAGUGGUACGCGAGCUGGGUUUAGAACGUCGUGAGACAGUUCGGUCCCUAUCUGCCGUGGGCGCUGGAGAAUUGAGGGGGGCUGCUCCUAGUACGAGAGGACCGGAGUGGACGCAUCACUGGUGUUCGGGUUGUCAUGCCAAUGGCACUGCCCGGUAGCUAAAUGCGGAAGAGAUAAGUGCUGAAAGCAUCUAAGCACGAAACUUGCCCCGAGAUGAGUUCUCCCUGAGACUUUAAGUCUCCUGAAGGAACGUUGAAGACGACGACGUUGAUAGGCCGGGUGUGUAAGCGCAGCGAUGCGUUGAGCUAACCGGUACUAAUGAACCGUGAGGCUUAACCUU